UACGGGGGGGGCAAGCGUUGUUCGGAAUUACUGGGCGUAAAGGGCUCGUAGGUGGCCAACUAAGUCAGACGUGAAAUCCCUCGGCUUAACCGGGGAACUGCGUCUGAUACUGGAUGGCUUGAGUUUGGGAGAGGGACGCGGAAUUCCAGGUGUAGCGGUGAAAUGCGUAGAUAUCUGGAGGAACACCGGUGGCGAAGGCGGCAUCCUGGACCAACACUGACGCUGAUGAGCGAAAGCCAGGGGAGCAAACGGG
rnacentral:rRNA from 1 species